GGGCCCGCACAAGCAGCGGAGCAUGUGGUUUAAUUCGAAGCAACGCGAAGAACCUUACCUAGACUUGACAUCUCCUGAAUUAAUCGUAAUGGAUGAAAUCCCUUCGGGGACAGGAAGACAGGUGGUGCAUGGUUGUCGUCAGCUCGUGUCGUGAGAUGUUGGGUUAAGUCCCGCAACGAGCGCAACCCUUAUCAUUAGUUGCUAACAUUUAGUUGAGCACUCUAAUGAGACUGCCCGGGUUAACCGGGAGGAAGGUGGGGAUGACGUCAAAUCAUCAUGCCCCUUAUGUCUAGGGCUACACACGUGCUACAAUGGUGGGAACAAAGAGAUGCAAUACCGCAAGGUGGAGCCAAACUCCAAAACCCAUCCCAGUUCGGAUUGUAGGCUGAAACUCGCCUACAUGAAGCUGGAGUUGCUAGUAAUCGCGAAUCAGAAUGUCGCGGUGAAUACGUUCCCGGGCCUUGUACACACCGCCCGUCACACCAUGAGAGUCGGCAACACCCGAAGCCCGUGAGGUAACCUUUUGGAACCAGCGGUCGAAGGUGGGGUUGAUGAUUGGGGUGAAGUCGUAACAAGGUAGCCGUAGGAGAACCUGCGGCU
rnacentral:rRNA from 1 species